CCUACGGGUGGCAGCAGUGAGGAAUAUUGGUCAAUGGGCGCGAGCCUGAACCAGCCAAGUCGCGUGAGGGAUGAAGGUUCUAUGGAUCGUAAACCUCUUUUAUAAGGGAAUAAAGUGUGGGACGUGUCCUAUUUUGUAUGUACCUUAUGAAUAAGGAUCGGCUAAUUCCGUGCCAGCAGCCGCGGUAAUACGGAGGAUCCGAGCGUUAUCCGGAUUUAUUGGGUUUAAAGGGUGCGUAGGCGGCAUUUUAAGUCCGCGGUGAAAGGCGGUGGCGCAACCAUAGAAUUGCCGUUGAAACUGGACGGCUGGAGUGUGUGAGAGGCAAGGGGAAUUGGUGGUGUAGCGGGGAAAUG
rnacentral:rRNA from 1 species